GACCCAGUAGCGGAUGGUCCGCAACUGCCUCCAGUUGUCGAGAAGACUUGUGCCUUGUAUGCAGAAAUCGCCUGUUCGACUCGGGCCUGGGUCA